UGUUGGCCUGAAAGGCCUGGGACACUC
rnacentral:sRNA from 1 species